ACAAUGCGGAACAAUGUUUUGCAAUUGGAUUGAGAACAACGUACAAACCUUAUCGAUAAACAAUUGGAGGGCAAGUCUGGUGCCAGCAGCCGCGGUAAUUCCAGCUCCAAUAGCGUAUAUUAACGUUGUUGCAGUUAAAAAGCUCGUAGUUGAAAUGAAGGGUAGUUGUGUAAUGAAUACAUUCGUGUAUUUUGUUAUUCUACUACCCUCCUUCUAAAUUCGAUAUAUGAGUAUUAAUUUACUUGUAUAUGGUUUUAGACGUUUACUGUGAGAAAAUUAGAGUGUUCAAAGCAGGCAUUUGCUUGAAUAUAUUAGCAUGGAAUAAUCAUGUAUGAUUUUCAUGAUGUAUUUGAUUGGUUUGGUUCAUGAGAAUAAGAUUAAAAGGGACAGUUGGGGGUAUUCAUAUUCAAUAGUCAGAAGUGAAAUUCUCGGAUUUAUGGAAGAUGAACAAGUGCGAAAGCAUUUACCAAGGAUGUUUUCAUUAAUCAAGAACGAAAGUUAGGGGAUCGAAGAGGAU
rnacentral:rRNA from 1 species